rnacentral:misc_RNA from 1 species
GAUGAAGAACGCAGCGAAAUGCGAUACGUAAUGUGAAUUGCAGAAUUCAGUGAAUCAUCGAAUCUUUGAACGCACAUUGCGCCCGCCAGCACUCUGGCGGGCAUGCCUGUUCGAGCGUCAUUUCAACCAUCAAGCCCCAGGCUUGCGUUGGAGCCCUGCGGCUGCCGCAGCCUCCUAAAAGCAGUGGCGGGCUCGCUAUCACACCGAGUGCAGUAGCACAUCUCGCUCAGGGCGUGCGGCGGGCUCCUGCCGUGAAACCCCCCACUGUAACCCCAAAGGUUGCCCUCGGAUCAGGUAGGAAUACCCGCUGAACUUAAGCAUAUCAAUAAGCGGAGGA